rnacentral:rRNA from 1 species
CAGCCGCCGCGGUAAUACGUAGGUGGCGAGCGUUGUCCGGAUUUAUUAGGCGUAAAGGGAGUGUAGGCGGUCUUUUAAGUCUGAUGUGAAAGCCCACGGCUCAACCGUGGAGGGUCAUUGGAUACUGGGAGACUUGAGUGCAGAAGAGGAGAGCGGAAUUCCAUGUGUAGCGGUGAAAUGCGUAGAUAUAUGGAGGAACACCAGUGGCGAAGGCGGCUCUCUGGUCUGUAACUGACGCUGAGGCUCGAAAGCGUGGGGAGCAAACAGGAUUAGAUACCCCUGUAGUCCCUGUCUCUUAUAC